rnacentral:rRNA from 1 species
GACGAACGCUGGCGGCGUGCCUAACACAUGCGAGUCGAACGGAAAGGCCCUGCUUGCCGGGUACUCGAGUGGCGAACGGGCGAGUAACUCGUGGGUGAUCUGCCCUGCACUUCGGGAUAAGCCUGGGCGACUGGGUCUAAUACCGGAUAGGAGCUAUUUUUAGUGUGAUGGUUGGAAAGUUUUUUCGGUGUUGGAUGAGCUCGCGGCCUAUCAGCUUGUUGGCGGGGUAAUGGCCUACCAAGCCGGCGACGGGUAGCCGGCCUGCGAGGGUGGACGGCGACAUUGGGACUGAGGUACGGCCCAGUCGCCAACGGGAGGCAGCGGGGGGGAGUAUUGCACAAUGAGCGCGAGCCUGAUACGACGACGCCGCGUGGGUGAUGACGGCCUUCGGGUUGUAAACACCUUUCGCUAGAGACGAAGCUUUUGUGACGGUACCUAAAGAAGAAGCACCGGCUAACUACGUG